UUUGUCUAUUCUCAUACUACUUUUCGUCAUGGAUAAAUUUUUAAUAAAAAAACCAAGUGCAGCAGUAUCUUAAUCAUUAUUAAAAAUUGAUGUGACUAACACUGAUAAAAACAAAAUUAAACGUUCUGUGGAAAACGAUGAAGAUAUAACCACUAAAAUUGCUAAAACUAGUAAGAAUGCCCUAAAUUUAAAAAGUUCUGAAGACAGCGGUCAUACUGAUACUACUGAUUCCAUGGAUAUUGGAUUACUCAUCCAGCAGUUAGAAAAGGUUUGCAUGAAAAAUUAUUUAAAUAUGAUUUUAUGUGGUUAUAGAUUAUUUGAUG